CCUACGGGUGGCAGCAGUGGGGAAUAUUGGACAAUGUGCGAAAGCCUGAUCCAGCCAUGCCGCGUGUGUGAAGAAGGCCUUCGGGUUGUAAAGCACUUUCAGUGGGGAAGAAAGCCUUGGGGCUAAUACCCUCGAGGAAGGACAUCACCCACAGAAGAAGCACCGGCUAACUCCGUGCCAGCAGCCGCGGUAAUACGGAGGGUGCGAGCGUUAAUCGGAAUUACUGGGCGUAAAGCGCGCGUAGGCGGUCUGAUAAGCCGGUUGUGAAAGCCCCGGGCUCAACCUGGGAACGGCAUCCGGAACUGUCAGGCUAGAGUGCAGGAGAGGAAGGUAGAAUUCCCGGUGUAGCGGUGAAAUGCGUAGAGAUCGGGAGGAAUACCAGUGGCGAAGGCGGCCUUCUGGACUGACACUGACGCUGAGGUGCGAAAGCGUGGGUAGCAAACAGGAUUAGAUACCCCUGUAGUC
rnacentral:rRNA from 1 species